AACAUUGACAUUUUUUUUUUUUUGCUGCUUCUUUAUCACUCCACAGAGUCAACCAAUUGGCCUUGUAGCACGUCUUCUCUCCGCCAGAACGCCACGCCUCAGGUUGUGUAACAAUUCCGGAUCUCGGUGAUUCCCUUUUGGCACGGACACAACAAGCUUGCCUUUCUAAAGAUAGAUAAACAGGUCUAUUCACAUGCUGUCAACUGUUGCAAAGCGCAAAACUGAAAGUCUUUGCUUCUUCCAACAACAUGCCUCGCCUUCGCUGGUUCAACGGAAGGACUUUGCAACGAGUGCAAAACAACCAAAAUGUACUUCUGGAGAUCACUGACCUCUGGCACCUGAGGGCAAGACUGACUGAACCUUUCGAUGCCCUAAGCUUUCACGCACACAUCUGGCGUCAAUCGGCUGAUAUCAAAUCCUUCUUCAUCACAUUUCCGUCUUCAAACGAUCACGUGACAACCCCAAACCUGAUUGAAUACCCAAACUGGAAAUCCCAAGUGGGCGCUUGAGUGAUGGACAACAGAUCUGGAAUCACACUGGAAUCAAUGACUUACCCUCUACUCGUUUCCUCUUUCACCACCCUCCCCAACCCUUCACCCCCCCCCACCCUCAAACAGCUGAGGCCCCCUAGAGCCUCCUCUCCACCACCAACAGCUGACAAUGACUGCAUUGACACCCCUACAUCCUCCAUUCAUCUUCAUUCCCCCACCCCUUUCACCCCGUCAUAUCCUGCCAUUUGCAUUGGAAUGACCACCCGUGCCUGCUGUGGUGUGUGCACGCUUGUGUGUGUGUGUGUGUGUGUGUGUGUGUGUGUGUGUGAGUGUGUGUACGCCAAGGGCUAAAAUAGUGUGUUCCACAUCCGCAUGACUCGACAUUGGAUCAGUUAACAUUCAUUUCAUAAAGCUCUGUCUUGCGUCGACAGUUUUCCACCGCAACAUAAGUGACUAUGGGAGUCCAUUUAUGAGCAAUGCACUCACUCAGAUGGUGGGCAAGGGGGGGGGGGGGGGGGGAUGUGAUUUCUCAGCUGCCUGGGAGACCACUUCCUGAGAGGCCCACUCGUGGAGGGGAGAUGCAUGGGGCUUCCCAUCUGUCCAAGGCAGCAACAAAAAGCCUGAGCAGCCUACCUUACCUAAUCGAGUCCCCCCCCCCCACUACGUAUUGGCAAAUGGAAACUGGGUGUUUCUCAGUUUGAAAGCUACAAAAGAAAUUGGAAAUGGGAGAGUGGCUGCUUGUCAAGAAGAAGGAAGCUGUUGUCACUACGCCACUGUUGAGAUGGAUCCAUUCCCCAUAAAGGGAACCCAAUGAGGUUAGAGUGGAUUUAAAGUCAAUCACUACACUAUUUCCAUUGUGGCCAACCUAACAGUGGUCAUCCCCUUAUACAUAAAAAAAGAACGUACAUUGUAGGGAUCGGCUGAUAUAAUAUUUUUAUUUUAGACUGUUGCCGACUCCGAUAGUUAGCAGAAUAAAUUUCUGAUGAUUGAUAAGGAAUAAAAUAACUUUUUUUUUUUUUUUUUUGGUCCCUUAAUGCUUACGAUAUAAAUUAA